GGGAGGGGGGCGGGGAGGGGGCAGGGGACGUCCCAAAAACCUCUUCCUGUGCUCAAGUAUCCCUGGACCUCCCUGCAGACACUCCUUCCCCUUCUGGAAGAGCUUGGCCUCAAGGCUACAAGGGCCAAGCUUCAUUAGAGCGGCUGCCAGCACUGAGGGAUGGUUGGUGGCAAUCUCCGAGUGCGGUCAAUGCCCACAGUAUACACUACCCUAGGCCGAGGUGUUGCCUCUCCUUGAGAGGCCCACUGCCCAACGCUUCUGCCUUGUAGGAGGAGGAUGGGGACUCUCAUGGGGCAAGGAACAAUUACGGCAUCCCGGCAACUCUAAGACACCUCAGAUGCAAGAUGGCCACAGAUUUUACGUGCCCCUGGAAAAGACAACUAAGCUGCUGAUUAAAAUGUCAGGCCACUGAU